rnacentral:tRNA from 1 species
GGCUUUAUAUUCAAAAAUGAUAUUAGACUGCAAUUCUAAUGGUGUAUUUAAUACUAAGGCCU